UUCAGUUGGAGGACGAGGUUCGGUGCCAAUGUAUCCCCAUUUCCUCGAGAACAUACAACAGUGUCAAGGAAGUUUAUGAAUGGCAGGAGACCGAGGCACUAGUACAAAACCACUUAUUUUGUCGAGUUUUGUUCAGCUGAUGUACAUUUAGGAAUUUACGUUAAUUUUCUAAUACUUCGGAGACGAAUGGUGUUCAUUUGGAUUGGAAGAGACAAUUCAGUAAGGUUUCGAGUGGAAACUGAUUUUAUUCUAGAAGUAUUCUGGUUGCACUUUUGAAUUCGGCUUAAUUUUCAGUUGGUUAAAAGCGAUCCAAUAAGAACCUACGAAUGUUAAUGGACAUGUCGUAUAGCCUGGAAGAUUUUCGUAACGGGAACGAGGAGUGUUAUUAAAGGACAUCUUAUGCAACCAGGAGAGAAUGAUAGCAAUGGCAAAGUCUGUUGAAAAAUCUAGUUACAAUAUGAGUAAAUUUGAUAAAGAUGGCUCUUGAACCGCUUACUUUGCAAGUUUGGAUGUCGUUGUUCUGUUGAACCCGAAGUUGAAUACUACCGCUGAUGUAUUCCCGAAGUUUUCAACACGUUAAACACUGAUUUGCCUACCUGAAGUAUAUGGAUCAUUCAAGUAUUGUAGAGAUAACGGGCCUACAGGACGAAAACUGAUGUCUUGAUAUUUGUAGGUCGUGGAGAGGCUCCUGGAAACACUUGACCACUAAGUUUGACGUAGAGACAGACUUUCUACUGAAGUUAGACUGCUGUUUACAUAUUACCGGAGUUGGUAACAUGUAGCUGAACAUUGACAGCUUUAUAACACGUUGAAGGUAUUCUCAGCAACAGACACUUUAGCAUCUGAAGCAGAUUGCCAAAAUUACAUUGAAGCUUUUUAUCAUGGGAAGAUGCAGGAUUUUGAGUUGCGAAUGAAAAAGCAGAUGCAUUUCUUGAGAGGAUAAAUCUGGUCAAGAUGCCAAGCAGGGAUAUUCAAGGAUGCUUGAUCAUUUUCAAGCAUGAAAAUUAAAUUCUUUGAGAUAAAAGGCAUCAGUAGUGGACCAGAUAGAGAGAUGGAAUAAAGACUACUUCAGCUAAUCUUGAGCAGAGGUGGUCAUUAAGGUGACUUUCAGUAUACGGCAUGUGUAGUGUAUCAUAAUAGACCUAAAAAGGUGACUACUACUGUUACAUCUUCAGUAAGGGACCCCGAAAGUGAUAUUCUGGGAGUAAAAGGCAUCAGCCAUGUUUUCAGAACAGGAGCCAAAGAGAGGACUAAGUAAGUAGUGCCAGAACCGCAGCUAGAAAGAGGAAUCCUUCAGUAGGGAGCCUUGGAAGUGACUUUCCGGGGUUAAAAGGCAUUAGUCGUGUUCAGAACUGCAGGUAUAGACGAGACUUCUUGAAUACAAGGCUUGAGUGUGUCAUUUUGAGAGAUGACAUACAUAACUGCAACGGGAGGGAGGAUACUUGUUAGAGUAUCUUGACAGUGACUUUCUGGGCGACAAAAAACCAAGGAGGAGUCCCACAACCACAGCUCCAGGAAAGACUACUUCAAUAGAAGAAAAAGGCCAAAGCUCAAGAGAGGAUUUCUUCAGCAGUACUAACUCAACCACAACUCGAGAGAGGAAUUUUUCAGUAGUAGAGCAGUCUAGCUGAAAAGCACUGCUUUAGUAGUAUCGCAACCAGAGCCCGAGAGGACCUCUGUACUACCACAACCACUGCUCCAAAGACGACUUUAUGAGGAGGAACACAGCUAAGCUGAGAGAGAACAUCAGUAGGAACACAGAGAGAACGUCAGUAGGAACACAAUCUAGCUAGAGAUCGACUUUUUCAGUACAAGAAACUACCACAGCUUGAGAGGGGACUUCUCCAGUAGAAGAAACAACCACAGUUCGAGAGAGGACUACUACAGAGGAAGAAACUACCACAGCUCGAGAGCGGGUGAAUUAAGUAAAAGCAGGACAACCACAGCUCUCAAGCUAAUUAUUAGCAGAAACAACCAAAGCUCGAGAGGAAACUUCAGCAGAAGAAACAACCACAGCUCGAAAGAGGCCUUCAGUAGUACCGUACAUAACUUGAGAGGGACUUUUUCAGUAGUAUUGUCAGUAAUUCUGUUCCACAACCUCUGUUCGAGAGGGGACAUAUUCAGUAGUAUUAUACCGCAGUACCAGAUGUCUUCAGUAGCAUUACCACAACAGCUCCAGAGAACUUCUAUAGUACCCUACCACAACCUCAGCUCGAGAGAGGACUUCAGUAGUUCCGUACCCCAGUUCCAGUUAACUUCAGUAGUAUUGCAACCACAGCUCGAGAGAAGAUUCUUCAGUAGUACCUACCACAACCACAGCUCGAGAGAAGAUUCUUCAGUAGUACCUACCACAACCACAGCUCGAGAGAGAUUCUUCAGUAGGGAGCCUUAAAAGUGACGUUACUUGUUCAGAACUGCACUUGGAAAGAGAUUACUUGUAGAGAACUUUCUUGCAGCUCUUCAGAACUGCAGUUGGAAAGACAUUUUCUAAUAGAGAAUCUAGAAAGUGACGUUCUUGAGCAGGAGGUCCCGAAUCAUUGAAGGAGGGGAGAUGUUUUGUGUAUCUUGAGUAUAGGUCUUUUGGGUACUUUUUUGGAAAAAAAAGGAAUCCUCGUAUUUUCUGCUUUAUUAACCUUUCCUGAUAAAAAAAAACAGGAAUCAUAGUAUUUUCUGCUUUAUUAACCUUUCCUGAUAAAAAAAAAAAAAAACAUUUUACCUCCUAUACUCCCGCACAGAAAAAAAAAACCUUAUUGAAUGUUAAACCAAGUCGUACUCAACGAACCGCACAGAGAUUUCUUGAAUAUUCACAAAACUAGAAACUCUGCCUAUUCUCUCGUAAACUGGGUUAAACUUUAAGUUCUUUUGAACUGGGUUAAAUUUUAACGUUCUUUUGAUAUGUACUAAAGUAAAUCUUGUAAAUUAAUUUUAAUAUAAAUUUUUUGGUAACACGACAGUUAGAACUCGUACCUCAAUCGAUAAGACGUAGUCACUGAAGUCACAGCACAUGUCUCAGCCGGUACCAUUGUCACUGAAGUCAGUCGCCAUUACCGUUGUAUAUACCGUUGUCGUCCGUGAAACAAAAAACUGAAUUAUUCCUGAAAGAGCUUUAUUAGUGCAUUAUAAAAUACGCUGUAACGGCCACACCUUUAGUUCUCCCUACUUGUUUGCACCAAUGUGUUUGGAUAAAUUCCUACCAACUAAAUAGUUUCUUAACAGAGACUUAUUAACCGAUACCAACAAAGUCAACUCCAACCCCUCAAAAUAGAACACUACCUUACUUUAAAUUAUUUUGUACACUACACCAAAUAAACAUACUCGUAACAAUGUAGGUAUAUAUGAAAGGUUGCCAAACUCGUCUAAGAUUUGCGACCAAAAUGGUCUCGAGUGCCUGAGCAUAUUACGUUAAAAACUGUAACCUCCAUUCUGGCGUUCUAUUUCAAUAAUGUUAAAUCUGAUUGUCCCUAAAUCUGUCAAUUUUACAUGUACGUACUUAAAACAGGAGACAUUGAAAAAUCAU